UACGUAGGUGGCAAGCGUUGUCCGGAAUUACUGGGCGUAAAGCGUGCGUAGGCGGUUUGUUAAGUCUGUUGUGAAAUCCCCGGGCUCAACCUGGGAAUGGCGAUGGAUACUGGCGAGCUAGAGUGUGUCAGAGGAUGGUGGAAUUCCCGGUGUAGCGGUGAAAUGCGUAGAGAUCGGGAGGAACAUCAGUGGCGAAGGCGGCCAUCUGGGACAACACUGACGCUGAAGCACGAAAGCGUGGGGAGCAAACAGG
rnacentral:rRNA from 1 species